rnacentral:rRNA from 1 species
CAGUAGCCGCGGUAAUACAGAGGGUGCGAGCGUUAAUCGGAUUUACUGGGCGUAAAGCGUGCGUAGGCGGCUUCUUAAGUCGGAUGUGAAAUCCCUGAGCUUAACUUAGGAAUUGCAUUCGAUACUGGGAAGCUAGAGUAUGGGAGAGGAUGGUAGAAUUCCAGGUGUAGCGGUGAAAUGCGUAGAGAUCUGGAGGAAUACUGAUGGCGAAGGCAGCCAUCUGGCCUAAUACUGACGCUGAGGUACGAAAGCAUGGGGAGCAAACAGGAUUAGAUACCCCGGUAGUCCCUGUCUCUUAUAC